CUGAGUGCUGACAUUCCAGGCAUGAGUCACAAUACUCAGCUCCGUUUAGAUUCUGUGUUGAGAUAUAAUAGUGCACACAACAUGAGGAUCAUUGUUUUUAGCCAUACAUUUAAAGGGUGAGUUUUAGUUGUACAGCCAUCACCCCUAGCUAAGACCAUCACUACAAAAAGAAGUUGUGUACCUAGAAGCAGUCAGUCCUAACCUCCCAUCUUCCCAGCUCCUGGCAGUCACUUCCCAUCUCUACAGCUUCGCCAGUUUUGAAAGUCUCAUGUAACUAACUGGACAUGAUGGUUAAUCUUGAUGUCAACUUGACUGGAUUGAGGAGUUCCUAAGAGAAGAAUAAAGCAUUCUGGGUGUGUGAAGGCAUUUUCAGAGACUGCUAAGUGUGGUGGUGUUGGGGGAACUUCCCUUGAAUAUAGAUGGCACCACAUUUAGAAGGCUUGGAGGCCAGAAAAUGGGAUGGACCUUCUAGAAGUCAGCCAAUCGUGUUCUGGGGCUGCCGUGAUGUGAGCUGCUCCGCUCUGUCACACCCUCCCUGCGGUUCCCCGGGAUGUGCUACAUUUGGUCUGCUCACCCAUGGAUUGGUGUGUGCUUGUUUCUCCCCUGUGUCACGAGGGACUCUUCAUGCACAUGGUGUGAAUGGACCUCUACUUGUUAUUCUCUAACGGUGGAGUGCUGCUGGGAGCUGCCAUGAAACUCCACGGUCUGGCAUUUUGCAGAACUGCCAGACUGUUUCCCAAAACAUCUGUACCGCUUUCCACUUCUGCCAGCCGCGUAAACAUGCUCUCUCAGAAGCACCAAGCUCAGGGCUGAACACGUGGAUGACCCUCAGCGGGAAGACCGGCAGCCUCAGAGGCUGUCUGGUUCAGAGACCAGUGUGAACCCGCUUUAGAAUCAUCUGCAGAGACAGGGUCUCACGUAACCCAGGUUGGAUUUGAACUCACCAUUUAGCCCACAGUGACCUCAGACUCCUUAUUCUCUGGUCUCUACCUCUGAAUGUAGAUUGUCCUGCUUGUGCGGCAAGCCCUCGUAUCCACUGAGGCAUCUUACAGCCAGCCCCCAGAACACUCUUUGAGAUGGUGGCGAUUAAUGCAGGUUACUAGGGAGACUGUGUUGUGGGUAAGUAGUUCAGAGAAUUCUUGUCACACUGUACUGGCUGCCUGUGUCUUCUGUAACAAACGAACACAAGUGACUGAAAAGAGCAGAAGUUGGAGAUGGAGCAAUGGCUUAGGGUUUGA